rnacentral:misc_RNA from 1 species
UCUCCGUUGGUGAACCAGCGGAGGGAUCAUUACUGAAAUAGCAAGAUCCCACAACCCUGUGAACCUACCGAAACGUUGCCUCGGCGGAUGCCUGGCCCCCGCGCCGGGCGCUUCGCCCGCCGGCGGCCCCCUACUCUGUCUCUGCAGCGUGGCAUCUCAGAGUCCCAGAAAACAAGUCAAAACUUUCAACAACGGAUCUCUUGGCUCUA